rnacentral:rRNA from 1 species
UACGUAGGUGACAAGCGUUGUCCGGAUUUACUGGGCGUAAAGAGCGCGCAGGCGGUCGAUCAAGUCGAGUGUGAAAGCCCCCGGUUCAACUGGGGAGGGUCAUUCGAUACUGAUCGACUCGAAGGCAGGAGAGGGUAGUGGAAUUCCCGGUGUAGUGGUGAAAUGCGUAGAUAUCGGGAGGAACACCAGUGGCGAAGGCGACUACCUGGCCUGUUCUUGACGCUGAGGCGCGAAAGCUAGGGGAGCAAACAGG